CUCCCCAUUUCUCCAUCAGCAUCUUAUGUUCUCUUGGUCGAUUGAACUCAAACCUUGCCACAAACAACAACAACAUCGAUGGGGUUUUGGUCUUGAGACGGUAAUGAAGAUGGAAUCAAAACUGUUGGCAGUUGGAUUCAUGGUAUCAAUCAUAUGUUGGCUGAUUUGAAUUUGUAGUGAUGGUGAUUGUGAUGGGUGCUGGGUUGUUUUGGUUUUGAGCUCGAACUGCUGGUGUAAUCACAAGAGAAAUGUUGAGAUUGAAGAACACAGAGAUGGGGUUUUUGUAUGUUGCUUGAAUUAGUUUUGGGGGUUCUUGACAUCAAUUAAAUAUGGGCGAAAAUUGAUCUGAGUUGUUAACGCCGUUGGAGACUUCAGGGAUUGAUACAGACGUGAAAGAAUAUGGGAUUUGGGAAUGGACUAGUCAGAUGGUGUUGGUUGCAAUCUGAGAAUCACCAUUCCAUCUUAGGUGUUGUAAGUGAGCGCAAUACGAAUGGCUCUCUGCUUAUUGCAACCAGUGGAGGGCUAAACCAACAAACAACGAGGAGUUGUUUGGUGAUCUUAGUGCUUAUUCCAUCAUCGUAAAUGACGAUUGAAGAAGAAGGUUACGUGAAGAACAUCAACAAGAAGAAGGGUAAUCAUAAGUAUUGAAACUGUGGCAUUUCCAGAGACGUUGCUUGAUCCAUGGAAUGGUUCUUGAGGCUUGAAUGAAUAGGUUGGUGCUGAUGGUGAUGAUUGAAUUGGGUAUAACCCAUUUGCUAAAGGAUGAUAAGCCGCGAAGAUGAGGAAGGAUUUUGAAUGCAAAUGCAGAUGAUAUUCACUGCAACAACACUUGCAGCCAGCGGAACAUCUGAACUCAGUGAACUGGGAAUGCGCAGCUUGGUGUUGAUUGAGAAUUGGCAGUAGGAAAAUCUGACCCCACCUACCCCUACAUUACGCAUGUCGAAAAAAAAUCGUUUGUUUAGUUGAAGGCUGUGGAUGGUAUUUUUUAUAUUGGGAUAACAAAAAAUUGGCCACAAAAUUGUCCACUAAAAAAAUCCUGUUCCAAUAUUUAUAUGCAAUACGCUAAACUUGCCAGCUCGCUAUGCAAUACGCGAAACAUGUAGCAAUGUAAAGGCCCA